AAUAGAUACCCAGGUAGUCCACGCCGUAAACGAUGAGUACUAGCUGUCGGAGGUUACCCCCUUCGGUGGCGCAGCUAACGCAUUAAGUACUCCGCCUGGGAAGUACGCUCGCAAGAGUGAAAACUCAAAGGAAUUGACGGGGACCCGCACAAGUAGCGGAGCAUGUGGUUUAAUUCGAAGCAACGCGAAGAACCUUACCUAAGCUUGACACCCUUUUGACCGAUGCCUAAUCGCAUCUUUCCCUUCGGGGACAGAAGUGACAGGUGGUGCAUGGUUGUCGUCAGCUCGUGUCGUGAGAUGUUGGGUUAAGUCCCGCAACGAGCGCAACCCUUGCCUUUAGUUGCCAGCAUUAAGUUGGGCACUCUAGAGGGACUGCCAGGGAUAACCUGGAGGAAGGUGGGGAUGACGUCAAAUCAUCAUGCCCCUUAUGCUUAGGGCUACACACGUGCUACAAUGGGUGGUACAGAGGGCAGCCAAGUCGUGAGGCGGAGCUAAUCCCUUAAAGCCAUUCUCAGUUCGGAUUGUAGGCUGAAACUCG
rnacentral:rRNA from 1 species